GGGGGAUGUUUUAACAUGUAUGCUGAACUAUUGAACUGAUAAUCAUUUUUCAGAGUGUUCCUGUUUGCUUGAGAACAGCUGAACUUCUAGAUUUAGGUUGGCAACUCCACAGUGGAUCUAAAACCUGGAUGUUGACGUAUUCUCCAGCAGCUAUGAUAUCUGGUAUUUUCACAGUCCCUUGAAACUCUGAAUCCAAUCAUCUCUGCAGCAGAAGAAAGGUAAUUGAAACAUUAGGCACAGCUUGGUCCCCAUGGGAAUGAACAAUCAAAAGAUAGGCAGC
rnacentral:lncRNA from 1 species